rnacentral:misc_RNA from 1 species
GUUGGUCCAAUUCAGCAACCAAUUCAUCGUAAUUGUUGAACCUGCUAAGAUCAACUGACCUUCCAAGUGCAAUCCCCUGCUUGUGGACCUUUGUACAACUCCUUGCUGAAGUACCCUGUGAUUUGCUGUGUGUGUCCUUCGAGUUAUGUGCGCAUGGUUGCUGCAACUUAUCAGCCUCAUUGAUGGCAAGGGAUUUAUCAGCCAAUUUUGAACCUCUAGAUAGUUCAGCCUUCAGGUCAGACUCGUUUGAAUGGAUUUGAUGUAUAUUAGGAU